rnacentral:lncRNA from 1 species
GAGAUGCUGCCUUAGAAUUGGGCUUCAUAGUCAAUGGGAAUGAUACCACGCUGGAAUACCAAAGUCCAGGUGGAGGCACUGAACCAUCAGAGGCAAGGUGGAAGUAAUUGUCGUAAUGAGAAGCACAGCAGAAAGACAACCCUGAGCCUUGACCUGCGGGGACCCCUCGGGGUGGCUGAUAGACCAUGGUGUGUCUGCAGCCUUUUCCAGAAACACAAUUGCAUCUAAAAAAAGAAACUGCCUGGAUUUACCUUCAUCUCAACACAAUGAGUCCAUGGCCACCGUAGCCUUGAACGAGGGCCAAACACUCCGAAGCGCAGAGACUCAGAAUCAAUGGAGGUGAAGGAAGCUGCUUCCCAGGGACUUCCAAGCAAGGUAUUUGAAUUAACGAAUGGCUUCUGUUUCUUGAGUGGAUCCACAACAACACAAUCACGAAUGGCUGCUAACUUCACAAAGAGCCAGCCAGAACUAUGUGGCCUUGUUGGAAAUGUACAACACAAUCUUUCAAGUAUUCUUGUCAAGACAUCAGCCCUGAGUCUGAUCAAGCCUUAGAUCUAACUAAAAGUAUGCAAGAAAUACACAGGGCAUGGAAACAUGUUAAAUGACACCAUGAGUAUCAUCAGAGAGUCCAGCCUGUGGGAAACUCCAUAGGGAAAAUAACCAGAAUUCUUCAACAAAUGAGGGAAAUAAUCUAUAAAUUCAGAGACUUAAAAGGCACUAAUUAAAAUCUAUGGACCUUGCUAAAGGCAUCACACUACCUGAAUUUAAAACAUACUACAAAACCAAAACAGCAUAGUACUGGCAUGAAGACAGACACACAGACCGCUGGAACAGAAUAGAGAACCCAGGAAUAAAUUUACAUAUUUACAGCUAAUUGACUUUCAACAAGGCACCAAACAUUUACUGAGGAAAGAACAACUGCUUCAAUAAAUGGUGCUGGGAAAACCGGAGAUCCAUAUGCCAAAAAAUGAAACUAGACCUCGAUCUCUCAACAGACAAAAUUCAAAUCAAAAUGGAUUAAAGAGUUAAAUGUAAGACUUGAAACUAUGAAACUGCUAGAAGAAAAUAUUGGGGAAACUCUACAGGACAUUGUUCUGGCCAAAGAUUUUCUUGGGUAAGAUCUCAAAGCAGAAGCAACCAAAGCAAAAGUAGACAAAUGGGAUUACAUCAAGCUGAAAGCUUUUGCAGAGCAAGAAAACAACCAAUGGAGUGAAGACACAACCUAUAGAAUGAGAGGAAAUAUCUGCAAACUAUUCAUUUGACAAGGGGUUAAUAACCAGAAUAUAUAAGGAGCUCAAACAACUUAAUAGCAAAGAUAUAUAUAUUAUUUUAAAAAUGAGUGAAUCAUCCGAAUAGAUACUUCUAAAAAAAAAAUACAAAUGGCAAACAAGUAUAUGAAAAAAAUGCUCAACAUCACUAAUCAUCAGGAAAAUGCAAAUCAAAACCACAACGGGAUAUCGUUUCACUUCAGUUAAAAUAGCUGUUAUCAAAAAGAUAACAGCUUUUUGAUAACAGGAAUACUGUUAUGGAAUACUAUUCGGCCAUAAAAAGAAUAAAAUCCUGGCUGGGUGCAAUGGCUCACACCUGUAAUCCCAGCUACUCAGGAGGCCGAGGCAGGAGAAUUGCUUGACCCUGGGGGCAAAGGUUGCAGUGAGCCAAGAUUGUGCCACUGCACUCCAGUCUGGGCGACAGGGCAAGACUGUGUCUCAAAAUAAAUAAAUAAAUAAAUAAAAGAAUAAAAUCCUGUCACUUGAAACAACAUAGAUGGAGCUGAAAGUCAUUAUGUUAAGUGAAAUAAGCCAGUCAAGGAGCUAAUCAGGUGGUUCUUAUGGAGGUAGAGAGUAGAAAGAUUAUCAGAGGCUUGAAAGACUAGGGGAGCAGAGGAUGAAGAGAGGUUGGUUAAUGGGUGAAAAAUAUACAGUUAGAAGGAAUAAGUACUAGUUUUUGAUAUCACAGCAGGAUGACUAUAGUUAACAAUCAUUUAUUGUAUAUUUCAAAAUAACUAGAAGAGAAGAUUUGCAAUGUUCCCAACACAAAGAAGUGAUAAAUAUUUGAGAUGAUGAAUAUUCUAAAUAACCUGAUUUGAUCAUUACACAUUAUAUGCAUGUAUCAAAAUGUCACAUGUAGCCUAUGAAUAUGUACUGUUGUUACAUAUCAAUAACAAAUGAAUAAAACUUAUGGUCCUUAGAUCUUGAUUCAAACAAAUUUUUUGAAAAAGAUUUAUGAGGCAAUGGAAAAAAUGUAAACACUGGCUAAAUAUUUGGUGAUAUCAAGGCAAUUAUUUUUAAAAAUGUAAGAGCUAAUGGAGAAAAUAUGAACACUGAAUAUUUACAUUAAGAGAGUUAUCUUUCUAAGUGAUGAUAAGAUUGUAGAUAUUUUUAAGAGUUUUAGUCUUUUACAUUUACUUAGUAAAAUAUUAACAAAUGAAAUAAUGUAAUAGGGAUUUGCUUCAAAAUAAUCCUUGCCUGGGAUAGAAAUAGGUGGGAGAAUAUAUUGGCCAUGAGUAGAUAUAUUGAAGCCAGAUGGUGAAUACAUGGAUUUUUUUUUUAAAUUUUGAUGCUCUUACAAAUUGACUAAAAAAAAAAAAAAAAAAAAACAAAAAGCAACCUAACUGAAAAAUGAGCAAAUGAGCAAAGGGCAUAAAUAGGUAAUUCAAAACACAUGUGUAAAAGUGCUCAACCUAGCUAGCAAUAAAAAAACAAUGAAAGAUCAGUAAGAAUGUGGAGAAACAGGUAUUCCCUCUGGUACUACCAAAUUGAUGGACAAAUUUUUUUUUUUUUUGAGACGGAGUCUCACUGUGUCGUCCAGGCUGGAGUGCAGUGGUGCAAUCUCAGCUCACUGCAAACUCCGCCUCCCAAGUUCACACCAUUCUCCUGCCUCAGCCUCCCGAGUAGCUUGGACUACAGGCGCCCACCACCAUGCCCAGCUAAUUUUUUAGUAGAGACGGGGUUUCACCGUGUUAGCCAGGAUGGUCUCGAUCUCCUGACCUUGUGAUCCACCCACCUCGGCCUCCCAAAGUGCUGGGAUUACAGGCGUGAGCCACCGCACCUGGCCAUUGAUGGACAAUUUGACAAAAAUUUUUCAAAAGGUAAAAUUUGCAUUUUCCUAAACCCAACAGUUUAGCUUCUAGAUACCUAUAUUAGAGAAACUGUCAAAUAUGUAGACAAAAAUAUGAGCUUAUUGCAGCAUUUUUUAGAGUAGUGAAACUUUACAGGCAAACUAAAUAUCCAUCAAUGGAGGAGUGGUUCACAAAAAGAAGUAAACAAAACAUGGUGUAUUCACACAAUGGAUCUUUUGCAGCAGUUAAAAAGAAACUGUAUGCGGGCCAACGUGGUAAAGAAUCCAAGAUAUUGUUCGGUGGAAAAAGCAUGUUGCAGAGUAAUAUGUUCUGUUUGAUCCCUUUUCUGUAAAAAUAAAACUAAAACAUGUAGAAUAAACCCCUCUAAAAAUGAGAUAUUUGUAAUAUGUAUACAUAAUUUUGUGUGGCUAUACAUAUACCAUACACUAUGUAAUUCUGCUUUAUUUUUCAUAAGAAUAUAUUCAUACUGCUU